AGUGAACGCUGGCGGUAGGCCUAACACAUGCAAGUCGAACGGCAGCACAGUAAGAGCUUGCUCUUACGGGUGGCGAGUGGCGGACGGGUGAGGAAUACAUCGGAAUCUACUUUUUCGUGGGGGAUAACGUAGGGAAACUUACGCUAAUACCGCAUACGACCUACGGGUGAAAGCAGGGGAUCUUCGGACCUUGCGCGAUUGAAUGAGCCGAUGUCGGAUUAGCUAGUUGGCGGGGUAAAGGCCCACCAAGGCGACGCUCCGUAGCUGGUCUGAGAGGAUGAUCAGCCACACUGGAACUGAGACACGGUCCAGACUCCUACGGGAGGCAGCAGUGGGGAAUAUUUGACAAUGGGCGCAAGCCUGAUCCAGCCAUACUGCGUGGGUGAAGAAGGCCUUCGGGUUGUAAAGCCCUUUUGUUGGGAAAGAAAAGCAGCAGGUUAAUACCCCGCUGUUCUGACGGUACCCAAAGAAUAAGCACCGGCUAACUUCGUG
rnacentral:rRNA from 1 species